UUUAAAAUUGGUUUAGAUCACGUUUAGAUGGCAUUUACGUUGAUCUAAACGUUUAGGAACCUAUUCUAAACGUGUUCUGAAUAUUUAAUUUGCGUUGAAAAGCUAAAUCAAACGAUUUCCGUACGGAAUAAAUUAGUUUCGCACAAAAUGUGUCGGACAUUUUGAAUCUUUCAUUAUGGUAAAAAAUUAGAAUUUCUUAUGAAUCUUAAAUUAUGUAAUAAAUGGUUUAGAAAAGAUAAAAGAAAUUUGUUUUUAGUAUUAUACUGUGGCUAAUGAGGCAGCUAAAAAGUCCUUCCAGUCAGUUGCAACAACAAGUAAAGCAGCAGGAAACAACCAAGUACACAUGCAAGUGACAAUGAGGAUUGCAAAAGUUUUAAAUAUCAGAAACUGAAGAAGGAAUUGAUAAUUAGCAGAUAACAAAAAAGCGCAAAAGUACUGAUUAUACAACUCUUUUAAAGUUGAGGAAGAAUUUUAUGUGGUAUGUUAAUGCAAAAGGUACGAAUAUUGACAGUUAAACCAUCACCACCUCCACAGCCAUCUUAUCUCAAGCAUUCAAUUGCAUUCUAAGUUAUCUUUAUUCAAAUCAAGUGUGACUACUAUACCAAAAGACUGUAGAAUGGACCAAUCAACUAACCCAUCAGUACUUGCAAAGUCUUCUUUUCUGUAAGCCCGAAAUUUGAGUUCUAAAAUACCAUUAUACACAUAACUACUAUAUCAAAGCACAAACUAAUGGAUUGAUCAAGAAGGGCACUGCAGUUGUCUUGCAGUUAUGCAACUUAUCAACCCAUAACUGCGAUAACUACAAGAUUUUUUAAUAAGAAAAGAGAUUGUAUGACUUCGGUAUCCGCAAUACGGUAUCGUGUAUUGAUUCCCAUCUUAGAAUGGCUCUCUUCCGUAUAGGUGGAAAUAGGAAAGGUUAUUUCUUUUUUUCCAAUUCUUAAAACGAAGAGGCUUAAUCGGUUCAAACAAAGAUGACGAUGAUCAUUAUGGAGCCGAUCAUAAUGAGGAAUACGAUAAUGCAUAUAAUAAUAAAUAAAAUGAUUUUACUUGUAUCUUAAACUUAUUUAAAUAAAAAAUUAUUUGUUUAA